rnacentral:rRNA from 1 species
AUUGAACGCUGGCGGCAGGCUUAACACAUGCAAGUCGAGCGGGGGAAGGUAGCUUGCUACCGGACCUAGCGGCGGACGGGUGAGUAAUGCUUAGGAAUCUGCCUAUUAGUGGGGGACAACAUCUCGAAAGGGAUGCUAAUACCGCAUACGUCCUAUGGGAGAAAGCAGGGGAUCUUCGGACCUUGCGCUAAUAGAUGAGCCUAAGUCGGAUUAGCUAGUUGGUGGGGUAAAGGCCUACCAAGGCGACGAUCUGUAGCGGGUCUGAGAGGAGGAUCCGCCACACUGGGACUGAGACACGGCCCAGACUCCGACGGGAGGCAGCAGUGGGGAAUAUUGGACAAUGGGGUAAACCCUGAUCCAGCCAUGCCGCGUGUGUGAAGAAGGCCUUAUGGUUGUAAAGCACUUUAAGCGAGGAGGAGGCUACUUUAGUUAAUACCUAGAGAUAGUGGACGUUACUCGCAGAAUAAGCACCGGCUAACUCUGUGCCAGCCGCCGCAGUAA